CAUAGGUUAAUGAGGCGAACCGGGGGAACUGAAACAUCUAAGUACCCCGAGGAAAAGAAAUCAACCGAGAUUCCCCCAGUAGCGGCGAGCGAACGGGGAGCAGCCCAGAGCCUGAAUCAGUAUGUGUGUUAGUGGAAGCGUCUGGAAAGGCGCGCGAUACAGGGUGACAGCCCCGUACACAAAAAUGCACAUGCUGUGAGCUCGAUGAGUAGGGCGGGACACGUGGUAUCCUGUCUGAAUAUGGGGGGACCAUCCUCCAAGGCUAAAUACUCCUGACUGACCGAUAGUGAACCAGUACCGUGAGGGAAAGGCGAAAAGAACCCCGGCGAGGGGAGUGAAAAAGAACCUGAAACCGUGUACGUACAAGCAGUGGGAGCACGCUUAGGCGUGUGACUGCGUACCUUUUGUAUAAUGGGUCAGCGACUUAUAUUCUGUAGCAAGGUUAACCGAAUAGGGGAGCCGAAGGGAAACCGAGUCUUAACUGGGCGUUAAGUUGCAGGGUAUAGACCCGAAACCCGGUGAUCUAGCCAUGGGCAGGUUGAAGGUUGGGUAACACUAACUGGAGGACCGAACCGACUAAUGUUGAAAAAUUAGCGGAUGACUUGUGGCUGGGGGUGAAAGGCCAAUCAAACCGGGAGAUAGCUGGUUCUCCCCGAAAGCUAUUUAGGUAGCGCCUCGUGAAUUCAUCUCCGGGGGUAG
rnacentral:rRNA from 1 species